GGUCAAGCUAGGAAGGGCAUACGGUGGAUGCCUAGGCGCCAAGAGCCGACGAAGGACGCGGUAAGCUGCGAAAAGCCACGGGGAGCCGCAAGCAGGCGUAGAUCCGUGGAUGUCCGAAUGGGGGAACCCGGCGGUGGUAAUGCACCGUCAUCCAUCGUAAGAUGGAAGGGAACCCGGGGAACUGAAACAUCUAAGUACCCGGAGGAAAAGUAAUCAAACGAGAUUCCCUAAGUAGCGGCGAGCGAAAGGGGAAGAGCCCAAACCGGUUGCGCUAUGCGCAACCGGGGUUGUGGACCAACAUAAGGACUGGCGAGGUCUAGUCGAACUACCUGGAAAGGUAGGCCGCAGAAGGUAAAAGCCCUGUAGGCGAAAGGCGGAGCCAGCCGGUUGGGAUCCAGAGUACCACGGGAUACGUGGAGUCCUGUGGGAAGCAGGGGGGACCACCCUCCAAGGCAAAAUACUCCUUGGCGACCGAUAGCGCAUAGUACCGUGAGGGAAAGGUGAAAAGCACCCCGGGAGGGGAGUGAAAGAGGACCUGAAACCGUAUGUCUACAAGCAGUCGGAGAUGUGAAAGCAUCGACGGCGUGCCUAUUGAAGAAUGAACCGGCGAGUUACAGCAGCCAGCGAGGUUAAGCAGAAAAUGCGGAGCCGAAGCGAAAGCGAGUCUGAAGAGGGCGAGAAAGUUGGCUGUUGUAGACCCGAAACCGCAGUGAUCUAUCCAUGGCCAGGGUGAAGCGCAGGUAACAAUGCGUGGAGGCCCGAACCGGUGGGCGUUGAAAAGUCCUCGGAUGAGUUGUGGAUAGGGGUGAAAUGCCAAUCGAACGCGGAGAUAGCUGGUUCUCCCCGAAAUAGCUUUAGGGCUAGCCUCAAGUGGUGAGUGCAGGCGGUAGAGCACUGAUAGGGCUAGGGGCCGUAAGGUUACCGAACCUUGUCAAACUGCGAAUGGCUGCAUUUAGAGCUUGGGAGUCAGACUACGAGUGAUAAGAUCCGUAGUCAAGAGGGAAACAGCCCAGACCAUCAGCUAAGGUCCCGAAUGCCGUGCUAAGUGGCAAAGGAUGUGGCGCUACAAAAACAACCAGGAUGUUGGCUUAGAAGCAGCCAUCAUUCAAAGAGUGCGUAAUAGCUCACUGGUCGAGUGGCGCUGCGCCGAAGAUGUCCGGGGCUAAAGCACGGAACCGAAGCUAUGGCUUUUUCGACAGUCGACUUUUGACGUUUGACUUUCGAAAGGGAGUGACGAGAUGUCAGGGUACAAAGAAUUAGUAGUAUAUAAGGCAUCAUAUGAUGCGGCAUUACAAAUUCACCAACUGACACAGUCAUUUCCCAAAUACGAAUUGUAUGAAAUCGGGAGUCAAUUGCGGAGAGCUGCGAUAUCAAUUCCAUUAAAUAUAGCAGAAGGAUAUGGCAGAAAGACAUAUCAAAAAGAUUUUAAGAAUUUCUUAGUAACCGCAUUGGGUUCAUGCAACGAAGUGCAAGUACUGCUAGAUAUGGUCAAAGAUCUAGGAUAUAUAGACGAGCAACAUGAAAUGCUUAAAGAAACAUAUGACCACAUAGCAAGGCAGCUUGCGAGAUUCAUACAAGUUGUUGAGAAAGCGAAGGUCGAAAGUCGAAAGUCGGCUGUCGAGAAAGGGUAGGGGAGCGUUCUUACCGGGUAGAAGGUUUUCUGGAAGGGGAGCUGGACUGGUAAGAAGUGAGAAUGCCGGUAUGAGUAGCGAAAAGACAGGUGAGAAUCCUGUCCACCGAAAGCCUAAGGGUUCCUGAGCAACGAUCGUCGACUCAGGGUAAGUCGGGACCUAAGCCGAGGCGGAUAAGCGUAGGCGAUGGACAACGGGUAAACAUUCCCGUACCGCCCGAAGUCGUUUGAGCGAAGGAGUGACGCAGGAGGUAAGGCAAGCGCGAGGAUGGAAAGUCGCGUCUAAGCCGGUAGGGUGCAGUGCAGGCAAAUCCGCACUGCGAGAGCCUGAGAGGUGAAGGGGAGCUGAGGGGAGACCCUUGGCGAAGUUGCCUGGGCCAGACUGCCGAGAAAAGCUUCUAGCGAGACGGAGGGCGCCCGUACCGGAAACCGACACAGGUAGGCGGGGAGAGGAUCCUAAGGUGCGCGGGAGAACCCUCGUUAAGGAACUCGGCAAAAUGUCCCCGUAACUUCGGGAGAAGGGGAGCCCAAGCCCGUGAAGGCAGGAAGCGGCCGGAGCGGGAGUGGGUCGCAGAGGAGAGGCCCAAGCGACUGUUUACCACAAACACAGGUGCCUGCUAAAGCGAAAGCUGACGUAUAGGUGCUGACACCUGCCCAGUGCCGGAAGGUUAAGGAAGGGGGUUAGGAGGAAACUCCGAAGCUCACGACCGAAGCCCCGGUGAACGGCGGCCGUAACUAUAACGGUCCUAAGGUAGCGAAAUUCCUUGUCGGGUAAGUUCCGACCCGCACGAAAGGUGUAACGACUUGGGCACUGUCUCAACGAGGGACCCGGUGAAAUUGAAAUACCUGUGAAGAUGCAGGUUACCCGCGACUGGACAGAAAGACCCCAUGGAGCUUUACUGCAACCUGACAUUGGAUUUUGGUAAAGCAUGUACAGGAUAGGUGGGAGACAGAGAAGCAUGGGCGCAAGCUCGUGUGGAGUCGACGUUGGGAUACCACCCUUGGUUUACUGGAGUUCUAACUGGAGGAGUAACGAACCUCAGGACAGUGUCAGGCGGGCAGUUUGACUGGGGCGGUCGCCUCCGAAAGAGUAACGGAGGCGCCCAAAGGUUCCCUCAGCGCGGAUGGAAAUCGCGCGGAGAGUGUAAAGGCAGAAGGGAGCUUGACUGCGAGACGGACAGGUCGAGCAGGGACGAAAGUCGGGCUUAGUGAUCCGGUGGUACCGAGUGGAAGGGCCAUCGCUCAACGGAUAAAAGCUACCCUGGGGAUAACAGGCUAAUCUCCCCCAAGAGUCCAUAUCGACGGGGAGGUUUGGCACCUCGAUGUCGGCUCAUCACAUCCUGGGGCUGAAGUAGGUCCCAAGGGUUGGGCUGUUCGCCCAUUAAAGUGGUACGUGAGCUGGGUUCAGAACGUCGUGAGACAGUUCGGUCCCUAUCCAUCGCGGGCGCAAGAGACUUGAGAGGAGCUGCUCCUAGUACGAGAGGACCGGAGUGGACGGACCAAUGGUGUACCAGUUAUACCGCCAGGUGUACAGCUGGGUAGCUACGUCCGGAACGGAUAAACGCUGAAAGCAUCUAAGCGUGAAACCGGCCUUAAGAUGAGGUCUCUCACAACGGAAGUUGGUAAGGCCCCUUGCAGAAGACAAGGUAGAUAGGCCAGGAGUGUAAGGCGGGCAACCGCUUGAGCGGACUGGUACUAAUCGGCCGAGGGCUUGACCUA
rnacentral:rRNA from 1 species